CCUACGGGAGGCAGCAGUGAGGAAUAUUGGUCAAUGGACGGAAGUCUGAACCAGCCAUGCCGCGUGCAGGAAGACGGCUCUAUGAGUUGUAAACUGCUUUUGUACAAGGGUAAACCUGAAUACGUGUAUUCAGCUGAAAGUACUGUACGAAUAAGGAUCGGCUAACUCCGUGCCAGCAGCCGCGGUAAUACGGAGGAUCCAAGCGUUAUCCGGAUUUAUUGGGUUUAAAGGGUGCGUAGGCGGAUUGAUAAGUUAGGGGUGAAAGGUCCGAGCUUAACUCGGGAACUGCCUCUAAUACGGUUGAUCUAGAGAGUAGAUGCGGUAGGCGGAAUGUAUGGUGUAGCGGUGAAAUGCUUAGAGAUCAUACAGAACACCGAUUGCGAAGGCAGCUUACCAAUCUAUAUCUGACGUUGAGGCACGAAGGCCAGGGGAGCGAAAGGGAUUAGAUACCCGUGUAGUC
rnacentral:rRNA from 1 species